GAAAAGACAAAUAUACAGGUGACAAAUAAUAUUUAGAGUGUAAGACGCUUUUUAAAGGUAUAUUUGCAAUUUGUGUCACAACAUUUAAAUAUACAUUUGUUAUUUUAACUAUAAAAUUUCAAAUAAUUUAAGCCAAAUUCAUAGUAUAUGCAGAAAAUUUAGCAAUAUAUCUAUGUAGCACCUUACUGUGCAUUACUGUAACCAGCCGUCUAAUAUAAAGAAUUAAUUAAGGUAGCAGCUACUUUUCAAAUAGCGCAUUUUUUUUCACAGACCUAUUAAAUAAGACAAAUAACAUUUAAACUUUAUUUUUAAAUUUGCAGGAUAGCAGUUUUCAGCAGAUGGUUUCUUUUAGCAAAUUCCAUCUUCACAUUGUGCUAUGCUUUUAUGAGUUCCAGCUGUUAACGGAUCAUAUUUUACUGCUGAAACCAUCAUGUGUGAUAUAAUUGCUCAUUAUGUGCCUUAAAACACAAGCAAUAUAAUUAUUUUCAACUUGGAGCAAAUUAAAAUCUUAUCAGCAAUUUAAAAUCUCUAGAGUCGUCUUCUUCUGGUUAAUUAUUUUAAACUUGUAUUUUUCUCUUUAUGUUUUUAGUGAGUUCUCUUAUCAAGGAGAAGAACUCAAGGUGAUUAUUCUUUUUUUCUCUUCCAUGCACCUCACAGGUGUGUUAAUAAUUUCAUUUCUCAGAAAAUGUUCUUUCAUAUCUAUCUUACAUGAUGAGAGACCUUUUAACAUCUUCCAUUCGGAUGUGAUACCAGUAAUGGAAAAUAUUCCAGCUUCAUGAAUAUGGUGAUACAAAUAGUUAUCCGUCUAACCUCUUUCAGUGCCAAAUGUUUACUAUACUCAGUGAGUUACUCAGUCGACUGGUAAUUUCUUCUGAAAUCACUAAUGAGAGGAUCAGAAGUCUGGCUGUUGUCUGUACCUCAUAUGACUCCCAGUGCAGACAAUUGUUUCUAUGGAGCACAGACAGUUGAAAGGAUUGACUUCCUGCCUAGAAUAGUUUCUGCUGUGCUUCUUAUCCUUCUUGUGGAGAUUUCAGAUUAUCUGAAUUGCUUUUCUAUCUUAAGAAAAAACGCAACAAUUCUCCCACCUGAGAGGCAUGUAAACUGUAGUAAGUUAGCAGAACCAAUCCGUAAAGUUUUUACAUUGUUUGUUGCAAAAUGCAGCGCUGGUGUCUCCAUCACUAACCUUUUCUAUCCCUCAUUGCUCUUUCUUUGACUGCAAUAGGAUACCUGUAGGCAAAUCUGUAUUCCCGAGACAGAGUGCCCUUUUGGUGAGCUAUAAGCACACUCAAUGGUAGGCUGAAAUACUAGUUUUUAUCUAUGGUGAAGUGGAAUCAUAUCAGUGAUUUUCUUAAAAAGGAAAUUUAACUCUUGCUAUGGUUUGAAUGCUUGCCCCUUCCAAACUCAUGUUAAAAUUUGAUCCCCAGUGUUGCAGGUGGGGCUCACUGGGAGGUGUUUGGUCAUGGGGUUGGACCUUCAUGAAUGGAUAAUACCCUCCCUUAGAAAUCUAAAGCUAUCCUCCCUCCUCGGUGCCCUCAGGAAUGAGUGUACCAUUCUUUAUUCACCUAUAAUUACCCCACCCAUCCUUUUUGAGAUAUUGAUUACAUGUAUGUUACACUGAUGCAUAUUGUCUGACGUAUCAGUGAGUUUCUGGUUUUCUUAUUUUAGUUUACCAUUUGUCCUUUAGUUUGUAAUGCUUCUAAUUUGUUCUAUAAAUUUUCUGAUGUUAGGGUAAAAUCCAUUACUUAUUCUAUGUCAUGGAAUUUUUAUUUCAAAUAUUUAUUUUUCAUCUAUAUAUGUCACAUUUUUCAUUUUAUAACUUCUAUUUUUCUCCUAUGUUUAAUUUUCAUUUAAGUACCUUGACAUAUAUAUGUAUUUAUCUAUAUGUAUUUAUAAAAUAUAUUUACUUUAAGAACCUUGAAAUUUCCUUCUUUUUUGUCAUUUAUAAAUGACUUAUUUUUAUCCUGUUAAUAUAUAUCUUAAUUAUAUAUAUCUUACGGCUUCUUUGCAUGUCAGAGUUUUUUUUGGGUAUUUUGAUGUUAUGCUAUUGAAUAUCUAGAUUUGAUUGGCUACCUUUGAACAAUGUUGUGGCAGGCAGUUCAGUAACUUCAGGAUGAGUAUUUGUCUGUUGUUGUUUUAAAUCUUCUCUUUAAGCUUUGUUGAGUUAGUCUAGAGCCAUCUGUAAUUUGGAGCUAAAUGAGCACUGUCACUAGGGCAUGAACCUCCAGUGGUCUUUACUGAAUAUCCUGGAGGUACAGAGGGGAUUCCCUUCUCUGAUUAGAAUUAGGAAUGUAAAGGGAAAAGAGAAAAAUAGAAAGCUAUGCAUAAACACGUGCAUUAAAAUGAAUUUUAUGUGGGCUUUUUCAUGAAAAUGUUCCUAAGGUAUUUUAUUUUUUUAUUGUGGUAAAAUACACAUAACAUAAAAUGUACUCGGUUAACCAUUUUAAGUGUACAGUUCAGUGGUACUAAAUAUAGUCAUAACAUUGUGCAGCCGUCCCUACCAUCCAUCUCCAUAAUUCGUUUCAUCUUGUAAAACUGAAACUCUAUACCCAUUAAACAAUACUUCCCCAUUUCUUCCUCCCCCCAGCUUCUGGCAACAAUCAUUGUACCAUCCCUAUAAUGCUAAUCAAGCAUAGUGGCUGUGUUUCUUGCUUCCUCUAGUCCGCAGGUAGCAUACAAAUGUAAUAAACUACUUAUUCAUGUCACAUCAAUUUAUUUUCUGCCUUAUACCAAGCUUGUGGGAUUCUCUUCAAUACAACAUUUUUAUACUUACACCUAUGCAAUACCCAUUAGCAUCGCCUUCCUAAAUCAGGGGAAAUUGAGCCUCUGUAAGGUGGAGUAACUCCCUAAGAUAUAAAACUCAGCAUUGAAGUCUGUAUACUUCAAUAUCCUGCCCUCUUCUCAUGUGUCUUUACUGCCUUUUAUGUAUGUGUUAGAUGUUCAACAAAUUCUCUUUCUUAAACUGAAUUUAAGCCGUGGAGCAGUGUUUUGUUGAACAAUAACUAUGAUAUAGGACACUCUUCCUCCUUUUCAUGUAUGAUCCUGUUCAUGAAAAAGAGAAAUUCUUUCAUUGUGCUAGAAGCUUAAAAUAAUGAAAAUGCCACUUUCUACAUUAAACAGAAACUGAAGGGAAUCAAGGUGAAUUGCAUGAGACAUAGAAAACAAGUGGGAAAGAAAUCUAGUAUAAUUUGCCCUUUGUGUACCUUUAUUAUUUAGCGUUUGAGUAAAUGAUUCCCCCAAAUAUCUUCCCAUCUUAAUUCAUGUCUAUAACGUAGACAUUUAUGUCUCACCUUGUCAAGAAGGGCCAACUCUAACAUAAACAUUUCCCAAAAAUGCUUCCUGCUAAAACGUAAGCUCAGUCUGGCUAGAAAUGCAGCUGACUUCCUAAAGAUUAAUUGGUAGCUAAUUUUGCAUGCUGUUCUCUGAACUUGAGUGAAACCUGUCCAUCAGGCAUACAGGGAAUGACAGGAAAGGUGACAACAGAAGAUGAAUGCUAUGUCACUAACCUUCAAAGAUGACCUGCCUUUUCUUUCAAAUUCUUGAUAUCUUAAGACUUCAUUAAUUCAUGUCUCUUUUCCCUUGGUUCAACAUUUUGCUAUACCAAAACUCAUGUGAAACAAUGACCUAAUGUAAUAAAAAUGGCAUUUUUCUUUCAUGUAGUUGCAAGCUAACUGGCAUUUUUACAAUCCACAUAUUUCCUUUGUCAAUUUUUCAUUCUGUAUUGGAAGUAAUUGAUAGGUAUUUCUGAAGGGAUGAAGGUGUUUCUGUGUUCAUUGUGAUCCAAACUACUUUUAGACCUAGGGGGCGUUUGUAAAACAAUUUGUGCCCGCUGACCAAGGAUCACUGUGGCAGAAAGCAGCAAACUUGCAUAAGAUGUCACUGCUUCAUAGGUUGGCUUUGAAAACUACGGGCUUACUCUAUACUCUUAUGUAUAAAAGACAUUGAUAGAUGUAGUAUAAGAUUACAAUCAUAUUUUCCUUUUGGAAGUCACAUUAUAAAGCAUGAUGUAUUGCAAUUAAUCUCAAUUAGCUGAUCACAAUUAAAAUUAAUAAUGUUUAUUAUUGCUGAUAAAAAUCAUGUCUCUCCUGUUCUCAAAUGUGCAAGUAAUUCUUUUAAUUUUAAUACAAAUUUGCAUAUUAUUAUUAAUUGAUUUGAUCUCAUUGGAUUUGGUUCAUGGAUCCAAUUUAUUAAAAUAUUGAUAAUGGGAUAAUGAUUUGUCUCCCCAUUUCAUGUACACUAAAAACAACAUUUCUUACAAUGAUCUGCAAGCCCAUCAUCAUCUGCCACAUGUUAACUGCCAAAAUUCUUUUAUAUCUUCACCCUUGAUCUUACCAGUGGUCCUGGCCACCUCACUGUCCUCUGGACAUGCCAACAUGCUGCUGCCUUAUGGUCAAGACUCUAGUUAAUUUCUUGGCUUGGAAAGAUAGCCCUCCAUAUAUCCAUUGAUCAGCUCAUUCAACUUCCUCAAGUCUUUACUGAAACUUCACAUUCUCGAUGAGGCCUAUUCAGUAUUUCAAACUGCCUCCCAGCUGCAGCAUUCCAAAACCCCUUACUCUUCUGUGUAUUUUUGAAAGGAUUUAUUGAGAUAUAAUUUACAUAGUGUAGAGUGCACACAUUAAUGUCUACAAGUCAGUGGCUUUUAGUAUAUGCACAGAUAAGUGGAGCCAUCAUCACAAUGAAUUUUAGAGCAUUUUCAUCACUUCAAAAAGAAACCCCACCUUCCCUAGCUGUUAACCUCCUAUGCACCCAUCCCCUACUCAAUCCUAAGCAACCACAAAUCUGUUUUCUGUCUCUAUAGAUUUUCCUAGUCUGUUUUCAUCUAAAUAGAAUCAUACAAUAGGUGGCCUUUUCUGCCUGGCUUCUUUCAGCUGGCAUAAUGCUAUCAAGGUUCAUGUACGUAUUGGUACUUUCUUUCUUUUUAUAACUGUAUAACAUUCAAUUUCUUGGAUAUAACAUUUUGUUUAUCCAAUAAUAUUUUUAUUGACAUUUGAGUUGUGUUCAGCCUUCGGCUAUUUUAAAUACUGCUGCUAAAAAUACUUGUGUACAAUUUGUGUUUGAACACCUCUUUCCAAUAAUCUGGGUGUAUACCUAGGAAUAAAUUUCUGGGUCAUAUGACAAUUCUAUGUUUCAUAUAUUUAGAAGCCAUCAAAUUAUUUUCCAAGGUGGCCAGUUCUACCCAUAGAGUAUCUAACUGUGGUUUUGAUUUGUAGUUGCCUGAUGAGUGAUGCUAUUGAGUAUAUUUUUAUGGGAUUAUUGACCGUUCGUGUAUCUUCUUGGGAAACACAUCUAUUCCUAUCAUUUAUCAGUUUUGAGUUGGGAUAUUUGUGACGGAGUUAAAACAAUUUUUCUAUAUUCAAGAUACAUAUAUAUAUACAGACAUAUAGAUACGUGUUUUUCAAAUAUCUUCUCACAAUUUUUGAGCUGCCUUUUGACUUGCUUGUUUGUCCUUUGAAACACCAAUGUCUUUAAUUUUUAAGAAAUUUUAAAUAUCUAAUUUUUAUUUUGUUGCUCAUGUUUUUGGGGUUACAGCUAUUUCUUUGCUAGAUCCAAAAUCAUGAAGACUUUCCCAUAUGCUUUAUUCUACCUCUUGCAUGUGUGUCUUUAAUUCAUUUGAGUUAAUAUUUUUGUAUGCUUUGGGGUAAGGGUUCGAAUUUAUUAUUUUGCAAGUGGUGAUCCAUGUGUACGUUGUUGACCCAGUUUGUUCAAAGACUGUCUCUUCCUCAUUGAAUUGCACAUGGUACCACUGUAAGAAUCCAUUGACUGUAUUUUAGAAUCAGCUUGUCAGUUUCUAGACAGAAGUCUGUUGGGAUACUUGCAGGGAUUUCAUCAAAUCUGUAGUUCAAAUUGUAAAGUACUACAAUAUUAAAUAGUCCAAUUCAUGGGUGUAAGGUGUUUGCUAAUUAUUUAAAUAUUCUUUAAACAAUAAUUUUUAAUUUUCAGAGUAAAAUCUUGUAUCACAUUUUCCAAAUUAAUUAUUAUUUCUUUUUUUGAUGCUAUUUUAAAUUGAAGUGUUUUCUUAAAUUCAUUUUGGGGUUUUCAUUGCAGAUGUGUGCAAUUGAUUUUUGUACAUUUACUUUGUUUGCUGUAAUAUUGCUGAAAUAAUUUACGAGUUCUAUCGUUCGGUGGAUUCCUUAAAAUUUUCUAUAUACAAGAAUGUUAUUUUCAAAUAAAGUUUUAUUUCUUCCUGUUCAGUAUGGGUGACUCUUAUUUUUUUAGUUGCCGAUUUGCCCUGCAUAAAAUCUUUAGUACAGUGUUGACUAGAAGAGGUCAAAGUAUAUAUCCUAUCAAAGUAUAUAUCUCUGACCAUAGCGGGAAAGCAUCCUUUACCAUUAAGUUGCAUGCUUGCUGUUGGCUUUUCACAGGUGCCAUGUAUCAGGUGUAGAAAGUUCUCUAUUCCUGGUUCAUUGAGUUUUUAUUUUUAUUUUUAGUCAUUAAAGCAUUUGGAUUCUGUUAAAUGUCUUUUCCGAAUCUAUCGACAUGAUCAUGCAAUUCUCGUUUCUUAUUCUAUGGAUAAGGUGUAUUACCUUAAUGGAUUUUGGGCUGUUAAACCAACCUGGGAUU
rnacentral:lncRNA from 1 species